UCAAUUCCGUUGUGCAUUGCAG
rnacentral:miRNA from 1 species